AUCUCCAAUAGAUGAGAAAUCCUGGAAUGGUUUUUCGUUCAAAAGGUGUUGCGAUCAUGCUUUGCGACACUGCUCGAGGAUGGGGCCGCGUCCGAUCAGGUAGUUGGUGAGGUAACGGCUCACCAAGCCUAUAACCGGUCCGGGCCGUGGGAGCGGGAGCCCGGAGAUGGGCACUGAGACAAGGGCCCAGGCCCUACGGGGCGCAGCAGUUGCGAAAACUCCGCAAUACACGGAAGUGUGACGGGGCUACCCCGAGUGCUGUCCGCUGAGGAUGGCUUUUCUUUGCUGUAGGAAUGCAGAGGAAUAAGGAGAGGGCAAGUCUGGUGUCAGCCGCCGCGGUAAUACCAGCUCUCCAAGUGGUAGGGAUGAUUAUUGGGCUUAAAGCGUCCGUAGCCGGCUCGACAAGUCUCUCGUUAAAUCCAACGAUCUAAUCGUUGGCCUGCGGGAGAUACUGCUGGGCUAGGAGGCGGGAGAAGCCGACGGUAUUCCCGGGGUAGGGGUAAAAUCCUAUAAUGCCGGGAGGACCACCAGUGGCGUAGGCGGUCGGCUAGCACGCGCUCGACGGUGAGGGACGAAAGCUUGGGGAGCGAACCGGAUUAGAUACCCGGGUAGU
rnacentral:rRNA from 1 species